AGUGGAAUUGCUGGGUCACUUGGUAGUUUUACAUUUAACUUUUUGAGAACCUGCUGAAUUGUUUUCCAAAAUUGCUGUACCAUUUUGUGUUCCUGCUAACAAU
rnacentral:pre_miRNA from 1 species